CUUAUUUCUACUUUCUACUUUCAGUUUCCACUUUCUGACUUUCAGUUUCUUUCUUCUUUUCUACUUUCUACUUUCCCAGCUAUUAGGAUUAUUAGAGCACAAUGGAUUUCAGUUGUGCAUCACUGUUGGUAUGCCUGACUGGCACCGUUCUCCUGCUUCACUAUCCUGUCGAUUCCUGUCCUGUCCAACCUUCUUCCGGACUAAAUGAUAGCGAAGUGUCCCCUGAGGAAGUUCAUACAAAUCGCGGACAGUGUGCAGUGCAGCGAGGUUUGCAGAUUCCGUUUGAAGAGUUGCUCGAGGAACCCGAAUGUACAGAUCCGCAGCUUUGAGUGAAAAGCAGCAUCAGCAGCACCGCGCUGUCCGUUGUUCGUACUCACCACACGCCUUCUCCUGAGCAGUCAAAUUCAAUCUGUUGUUCUUUUGUCUGUCCUCUUCGCUCUCUUCCUCUUUCCUUUUUUCGUUGGACGCCUCUUGGAUUCUGGUUCUCCCGCCAUCCCAGUCUCCGUGGACUAAUGUCGGCUUGCGUCCAGGAUCCAGCUCAGUCAAGUUUACUCAGAUUAGGCGUACAGUCCGUUUUGUACUGGUCGGACACGUGGGGAUUUCGCAGGGAUGGAUUCAAAUGGAGCGUCACACAACCGCACGAGAUGGACUGGAUGGGUUUGCUAACGUUUGCGAGAGUAAAGCAUCGUUUGUGGGGCGACAUGUGGAAAGGAGGAAUACCACAUAUCCGUAGGUACAUCUGUUUGCCUAUUUACCUGUGAUUCCUGUGUACGCCUUCCCUACGUCGCUACGGAUGCUAUUAUUUAGUUAUAUCUUUCGUAUAUGGUUUGUUGUUCUCUUAUUUUUAGCGGUGUAUGUGAUGUCAGCGCUUUUAGUCAAUGCGGCUGGUGUUCUCACCAAUGUAAGCAGUUGGAUAGGUUUUAGUAAUUGUU